GUUACAAACAGCCCAUGCAUCCCACAAAAACAGAAUGAGCAAAUGCAGAGGGGGAAAAGAACCAGAAAAACUUAGCAAAUCCCAAGGAACUACUCACACUUCCAAGACUGGAAGAGCCCAAUGUGAGGUGCUGCAAGCGGAUUUACAAGUCAUCGACUGGCUGCCUUACCAUGUCAAGGAUGUACCUGCCAUGCCCCUCCUUGAGAGUUCAGCUUCUGGGUGAAGCAGAUCCAUCCAUCAAGCCACCCACCCCAAAGUUCAGAUUCUGCAGAUGAAGCCGACUUGCUACAGAUGGGCCCUCCUCCAGCUCAGUCUGACAGCCACUUGAGUGAUCCACAGGAGGAGAAGAUCAUUGAUAGAAACAUGUGAGCAAAAAGUGUGGAAUAUCCAAGUGCUGAACUCUGGGCCAUCAUGGUGUUCUUGUUCCUGUAGAAGAAAACUCGAAAGAAAAUCCAUGAGUGUAUGAUGCAAAUAUUGGAUAGCAAGUGCCAGAUAAAGUCAUAUGAUACAGAUUUCCAAAUAAGUAUCUUGGCAAAACCUUCUGCCAGCAAGAAAUAGGAUACAGUAUCAACGACCAUCUGUGAGUUGAUCAGAGAGAAAUGGUCUGCCUCCUACUAUCAGUAACUCGUCUUUGAUAAUAAGGUUUCCAUUAUGCCUACAAGUGGUAUCAGUCAUGCUUUCUUCCUGACUUUAACCCAAUUACAAGAAAGAUAUAUAGACAA